rnacentral:rRNA from 1 species
UACAGAGGUCCCGAGCGUUGUUCGGAUUCACUGGGCGUAAAGGGUGCGUAGGUGGUGGGGUAAGUCUCGUGUGAAAGCUCGCAGCUUAACUGCGAAAAAGUCACGGGAUACGUAUUCGGCUAGAGGCUUGGAGGGGGGACUGGAAGUACUUGGUGUAGCAGUGAAAUGCGUAGAUAUCAAGUGGAACACCAGUGGCGAAGGCGAGUCCCUGGACAAGACCUGACACUGAGGCACGAAAGCCAGGGGGAGCAAAACAGG